GCCUGAGUGGCUCAGUGGUUGAGCAUCUGCCUUCAACUCAGGACAUGACCCUGGAGUUCUGGGAUCAUGUCCCAUAUCAGGCC
rnacentral:tRNA from 1 species